UGAAACAGGCAUUUGUGCAGGUUCCCCAUAAAAAUGACUGAUUUGGGUUUUACCAGGAGCUCUGGCACUUCUCCACUACAAGAAAGAAUUGCAUUUAUAGAGAGGUUUAUCAAGAUGGGAAUAGUGAAACAAACAUUUUAAAUGUCCAGCAGAAUCCUCUGUCUUCCCCCAAACAAGCCUCCCUGGGCAGGAAUUUCAGCCGUUCUGGAAUGAGAGCCUCCUGAAAGGAACCUGGCUCCCUGUGGGACUGCCCAGCUUCCAGCCCUGCUGCUGGGGGAAGAGCUCACCACAGGACACCUCAUGCAUCUGCUCUGGUUUGGAACCGUGUGUGCCAUCAAAUGUAGCUGGAGCCCGUGGGGCUGGAGCAGGUGCUGACGUUGGCCAGGCUGCUGGGACCCCAGGAGGAGAGCUCUGGGCCAAUUCCCUUCCUGUCCCACAGCCAGCAGUAAAUGCCACCAUCACUGCAAGAAGCCUGGUGAGCUGUGAAAUAAAGAUUGAUCCUUCCCACACCAAGAACUGCCUG